AUUGAACGCUGGCGGCAGGCCUAACACAUGCAAGUCGAACGGUAACAGGAAGCAGCUUGCUGCUUUGCUGACGAGUGGCGGACGGGUGAGUAAUGUCUGGGAAACUGCCUGAUGGAGGGGGAUAACUACUGGAAACGGUAGCUAAUACCGCAUAAUGUCGCAAGACCAAAGAGGGGGACCUUCGGGCCUCUUGCCAUCGGAUGUGCCCAGAUGGGAUUAGCUAGUAGGUGGGGUAAAGGCUCACCUAGGCGACGAUCCCUAGCUGGUCUGAGAGGAUGACCAGCCACACUGGAACUGAGACACGGUCCAGACUCCUACGGGAGGCCGCAGUGGGGAAUAUUGCACAAUGGGCGCAAGCCUGAUGCAGCCAUGCCGCGUGUAUGAAGAAGGCCUUCGGGUUGUAAAGUACUUUCAGCGGGGAGGAAGGGAGUAAAGUUAAUACCUUUGCUCAUUGACGUUACCCGCAGAAGAAGCACCGGCUAACUCCGUG
rnacentral:rRNA from 1 species